CGGAGGAUCCAAGCGUUAUCCGGAUUUAUUGGGUUUAAAGGGUGCGUAGGUGGCCUGUUAAGUCAGGGGUGAAAGACGGUAGCUCAACUAUCGCAGUGCCCUUGAUACUGAUGGGCUUGAAUGAACUAGAGGUAGGCGGAAUGUGACAAGUAGCGGUGAAAUGCAUAGAUAUGUCACAGAACACCAAUUGCGAAGGCAGCUUACUAUGGUUUUAUUGACACUGAGGCACGAAAGCGUGGGGAUCAAACAGGAUUAGAUACCCUGGUAGUCCACGCCCUAAACGAUGAAUACUCGAUGUUGGCGAUAUACGGUCAGCGUCUAAGCGAAAGCGUUAAGUAUUCCACCUGGGGAGUACGCCCGCAAGGGUG
rnacentral:rRNA from 1 species